CAAAAAAACAUCCGAUAUCAAAACUAUUAUAAACACUUACCUUUAAAACAACAGCAAGGUUUAUUUGUCUAUUAUCACACAGAACUUAACAAAAGGUUUAUUUGUCUAUUAUCACACAGAACUUAACAAAAGGUUUAUUUGUCUAUUAUCACACAGAACUUAACAAAAGGUUUAUUUGUCUAUUAUCACACAGAACUUAACAAAAGGUUUAUUUGUCUAUUAUCACACAGAACUUAACAAAAUCUGGUAAAAAACAAAUGGGACAUAAUUUGAUGUGACUCAGAAAAUACAAUGUAAACAAAACUAUUUAGGAAACUCUUACAUAAAAAAAUUGCAUAAAAGUAUAGUAACUACCCAAUCCUAUUUAUUUGUUUGUAAUAUUCUAACCCACAAAUGCACAGUAAAAUAAAUCACAUUUAUAUAUCAGCAGUGGUAGAAAAAGUAUCCA